rnacentral:rRNA from 1 species
GACGAACGCUGGCGGCGUGCUUAACACAUGCAAGUCGAACGGAAAGGCCCUGCUUUUGUGGGGUGCUCGAGUGGCGAACGGGUGAGUAACACGUGAGUAACCUGCCCUUGACUUUGGGAUAACUUCAGGAAACUGGGGCUAAUACCGGAUAGGAGCUCCUGCUGCAUGGUGGGGGUUGGAAAGUUUCGGCGGUUGGGGAUGGACUCGCGGCUUAUCAGCUUGUUGGUGGGGUAGUGGCUUACCAAGGCUUUGACGGGUAGCCGGCCUGAGAGGGUGACCAGCCACAUUGGGACUGAGGGACGGCCCAGACGCCUACGUGAGGCAGCAGUGGGGAAUAUUGCAGAAUGGGCGGAAGCCUGAGGCAGCAGCGCCGCGUGCGGGAAGACGUCCUUCGGGUUGUAAACCGCUUUCGCCGGUGACGAAGCGUGAGUGACGGUAAUGGGUAAAGAAGCACCGGCUAACUACGUG